rnacentral:lncRNA from 1 species
UGUAGCACCGAUAUACAGUGUUACGAGUUAGAUCGAGUCGUUGGUAGUUAGUAUCUUAUUAUUGUUGUGGUUGUGGUUGUUGAUUGAUUUGUUUGCAGGUUCUGACAUUAAUUCCUAAGUCUGGUUUAGGUACCUGAUUAGGCUUGGUGUGUAUUGGUUAUUGUAGGCUUGACGUUGGCCUGUAUGUGUUUGAGUGAUUGCUUGUGAAGGGAGGUUGAUAUUAAAGCUAUGUGGUAUCAUUGGUUGGCCGAUCAUGUUCUUGUUUGAUUGUUGGUC